GACGGGGGGAGCUAGCGUUAUUCGGUUUAACUGGGCGUAAAGCGUGUGUCUACGGUUUAUCCUGUUAAAAGUUAAAUAUCGGAGCACAACUUUCUAAAAACUUUUAAAACAGAUAUAAACUUAGAGUAUGAUUAGGGAUGGUAGAAUUUUUAAAGUAGCGGUGAAAUGCUUAAAUAUUAAAAGGAAUGCCACUAGGCGAAGGCAGCUAUCUGAAUCAAUACUGACGUUCCUGCACGAAAGUAUGGGGAGCAAACAGG
rnacentral:rRNA from 1 species